CCUACUCCCAAUGGUCAAAGAAAAUAAUUGAGAUGGUCGUAAUGCUGACUAAGUUCCCAACGACUUUUGCACAGUUUUGACGAAAACUGAACGCACAAAGUCCACUACCACUACUUUUCCAAGGUUUUGAUCCGACACGCAUGCAUGCCGAGCUGUAUGUACACCCACAGGCCAUCGGCUACCAGCACGCGUAUAUAAAUGGAGUAUCCCGGUGUAGUGCAGGCAUCAGAUUCACAGGCAUGGCUUCCUCCAGAACCUUGGCCGUGAUCCUGUGCGUGAUCCUGGCCUUGCUCGCGUUCGUCGCGCAGGACGCGCUCGCCGCCAGAGUCCUCGAUGAUGCUCCGUACAGUGGUGGCUGGAACCCCGGUCCCGGUGGUACUUACCCGACUUAUCCUUAGCAGCAGGCUGGACGAGGCUACUUGAAGCGUAUAUGGAUAGGGAGGAGCGAGCAUGAAUAAUUUAGUUUCUGAGCACCGGCUGAUUAAUUUGAAACUAUGUUUCUUGUUAAGAUUUAUUGUUAAGAGCUUUUUUCUAAGAAUAUGUAUUCAACUAUGUUGUUAUUAAAUAUUAUGAUAUUUUUUUU